rnacentral:rRNA from 1 species
GGCGGCAUGCUUUACACAUGCAAGUCGAACGGCAGCACGGGAGCAAUCCUGGUGGCGAGUGGCGAACGGGUGAGUAAUAUAUCGGAACGUGCCUUAUAGUGGGGGAUAACGCAGCGAAAGUUGCGGUAAUACCGCAUACGCCCUGAGGGGGAAAGCGGGGGAUCGAAAGACCUCGCGCUACUAGAGCGGCCGAUAUCUGAUUAGCUAGUUGGUGAGGUAAAGGCUCACCAAGGCUUCGAUCAGUAGCUGGUCUGAGAGGACGAUCAGCCACACUGGGACUGAGACACGGCCCAGACUCCUACGGGAGGCAGCAGUGGGGAAUUUUGGACAAUGGGGGCAACCCUGAUCCAGCAAUGCCGCGUGAGUGAAGAAGGCCUUCGGGUUGUAAAGCUCUUUUGUCAGGGAAGAAACAGCAGCUCUAACACAGCUGUGAAUGACGGUACCUGAAGAAUAAGCACCGGCUAACUACGUGCCAGCAGCCGCGGUAAUACGUAGGGUGCAAGCGUUAAUCGGAAUUACUGGGCGUAAAGCGUGCGCAGGCGGUUAUACAAGACAGGCGUGAAAUCCCCGGGCUUAACCUGGGAAUUGCGUCUGUGACUGUAUGGCUAGAGUGUGUCAGAGGGGGGUAGAAUUCCACGUGUAGCAGUGAAAUGCGUAGAUAUGUGGAGGAAUACCAAUGGCGAAGGCAGCCCC